UACGGAGGGAGCUAGCGUUGUUCGGAAUUACUGGGCGUAAAGCGCACGUAGGCGGCUAUUCAAGUCGGGGGUGAAAGCCCGGGGCUCAACCCCGGAACUGCCCUCGAAACUAGAUAGCUAGAAUCUUGGAGAGGCGAGUGGAAUUCCGAGUGUAGAGGUGAAAUUCGUAGAUAUCGGGAGGAACACCAGUGGCGAAGGCGGCGACCUGGGCCAAUAUUGACGCUGAGGUGCGAAAGCGUGGGGAGCAAACAGG
rnacentral:rRNA from 1 species